rnacentral:pre_miRNA from 1 species
AGGGGGAGCACAGGAUCCUGGACUGUGUACCCCAGCGCCCCGUGAUCCAGGGCCUGCACUGCUGGAAUCAGGCUCCCGGGGCCACGCAGCCCCCU